AAUGGAUGCUUCGAAAUUUGCUCAGUUUGCGUGCGGUUUUCAGAGCAAUAGGAUGCAGCAGCAGUAGCAGCAAUAAUUUCAACAGCCGCCAAUGAAUCAGCUUCAUCAGCGGGUUAAAUUCUAGAAAGGAGUUUGUCCACAGUGAUUGAACUAUUUAACAACUACAUUAAGAAAAGCUGAAAUAAAUAAAAAUCAGUUUCAAGUGACUAUUUACCGUACAAAUUAAAAGGUAGUGUGGAAAUUUGUGGGGUUUUUGGGCUCUGCAAGGACCCUUGGAUUACCUUGCGGGGCGAGCGGAAUCGGAAAAUAUAUCUUUGCCGGCGGAUACCAGUGGAGCGACGGCGAAAUAAACCAGAAAGAAAUCGAAGAGGCUGCAGCAAGGAGAUAUUGCAGCAACAACUGGGAUCAAAUAAGGGAUUAUAGCAGCAGCCUAGCCCGUUAAGUGCUUCAAAGCACAGGAAUAAAAGAGAAGGGGUCGGCACUCCCACCCACUGCCACAAUUUUUCGGGCAGUGCAUAUAUUUUAAGCCAACAAAAGACCGCAAGGACGCCGCCAACGCUGAGCAGCGGUUGAAGCGGCGCUGCAGCCGCAGAAAAUGGCCGCAGUCACGAGUGCAGCGGCGAUAACAAUAGCAGCAGCAACAGCAGCAGCAGCAGCAACAUGAAUGAAACCUGCAGCAAUUGCAGCAGCAACAUUCCACGGCAACGCCGAUGCUGAUGCAGAUGAUGAUGAUGAUGAUGACGAUGCUGGUGAUGCAGACGACGAUUACGAUGAUGACGACGUUGCCGAGUUGCAGUUUCAAGAGCCACAACACAAUGCCAAGUGCCAACAACAAGCUGAGCGAAGGGGGAAAUUAAGUGCCAAAGGCAACCGCAGCAACAUAGCAACAGCAACAGCAGCAGCAGCAGCAGCAGCAGCAGCAGCAACAGCGAAAAGAUUUUUCUCUAGUCAAGCAAAAUCCAAACUAAAUUUACAUAACAAAACACGUGCAGCGAACAGAGAAGUAAAAUCUCCAUUUCCCAGAAGCGUAGUCAAAAAGGAGGCAGCAGUAGCAGC